rnacentral:lncRNA from 1 species
CCAUCUUUCAUGUAUGAAAGGUCCAAAUACUAAACUCUACUUGUGUCCCUCAGACUACAUUUAUUUAUCUUGCCGAAAUGUAAAAUUUGAAGUUUCAGUUUCUCAUGAGUUUCAUUGAGAUAAAUCCAUUGAUGUAGCUAGUCAUUCAUUCUCAGGAAACAACAAGCACCUGCUUUCCUACAUUGCGGCCAGCAAAGAGGCCAAGCAAAGCCGAUGGAGCAUUCUCCAGGCCUUCAACAACAUCUUCAACGUAUGCUUGCCUUCUUUUAUGUAAGGCAGAACGAAUUCGAGAAACUUGCCGUAGAUAGGAAAGUAUUUUGCAACCAGGCAGUUUUAUUUGAUGUCCAAGCAGAUCUUAGCAACUUUGCUUCCAAGCAGAGAAGCCAAGUCCAUUUCGGAUACACUUCAUUCCAGUUAUGGGCUCACGCUUCACCCGACGACGACGUUGGUGCUUACAUCAUCCACCUCUACUUACUUACGAGGCCCAACCCAACCUAACCCUACCCUACCAAACCCAGCCCAGCAUCCCCAGCUGUAUCUGAGGCAUUCACCAGCCAACUUACACAUGCCCAAUAUGCCCCAACAACAAAAACAAAAAGAACUUUGCAGCAGAACACAAGAGUUUGAUUCCAUUGUCUUAUGUUCUAUCAAUCUCCUAGUAUUAGUGGUAUUCUUCAUUUUCUUUUCAGCAACUACUGUGUUGGUUGCAUUAUGCGUUAUUCUUUUGGAAGUUUUUUAAUUGUUUUAAUUUUAUAUGUCUUAAAUCUUCCAUAUAACUAGAUCUACGUCUCUUACAAAAGUCGUUUUAUACCUACAAGAAUGUUGUCAUUUCAAAAACUGGAGGAUGCAUAAGUGCAUUCAUAUCUUCUUCUCAAUAUUAUAUCACACACUGCCUUUCUCUUCAUACUUGAUAAUAGUAUAAAACUAUUGUGAAAAUCAUGCUACAUUUAUUAGGAUGAGACAGCUCUCAGGAUGAGACAGCUCUCCUCAACACAAAAUGCAAUAUCCAAAGCAAGCUAACCAUAUACCUGAUACAAAGUUCAUUACAUACACCAAGGUGCACUGCAGAUGGGCUUAAACAACUUAACAUAAAAACAAAUGUCUCGGACUUCAGAAGUACAGAUGGAGCCGGAUUAGUAAUCACUCCCUGGAAACUACAACAACCUGCUUUCCCACGUUGCGGCCAGCAAAGAGCCCAAUUAGAGCUGCAGGAGCGUUCUCAAGGCCCUCAACUACAUCUUCCACAUAUGUAAUCUUCCCUUCUUUUAUGGCAGGCAACACUGUUUCAAGAAACUUUCCAUACAGAUGAUAGUAACUGAACACCAGGAAACCUUCCAUGCGGACCUGCUUAACAAUCAAAGACAUCAAAUUAUGUAUGCCUUCAGGCUUCUCCAAGUUGUACUGAGAUAUCAUCCCACACACUGCUAUUCGCCCUUUCAGCCUCAUGUUUGGUAGCACUGCAUCAAGCAUCUUUCCCCCCACAUUCUCAAAGUAAAUGUCAAUACCAUCAGGAAAAUACCUGCAGGUUAGCCAAAAACAACUGUAAACAAGAUGUAUAUUCCCAAAAUGAGGUACACAUGCGCAGCAUGAGACCAGACACUUUGUUUUCCCCUUGUGUUUCUAGAUUGAAUUCAGACUCUUAUUAAUGCCUGUGGAGGGUUUGUAUCUCCAAAUCCAAUAUUGGAAAAACUAACCAGUCUAGUGUCACUAUAAUUAGAAUAAACAAAGAUCCUAGACUAAGUCAAAGCAUUAAGCAUAUUUUGGAUUCCGACUGCUAAGAGAUAUAUUACAUUCUCACCUUCUUAAAGCUGCAUCCAGGUCAGGUUCGUCUUUAUAGUUGAAAGCCUCAUCAAAUCCGAAUUUGUUCUUCAGCAGAUCAACCUGAGAUCCCAGAAAUUGUAUAUCCCCAUAUUAACACAGUAGAUAAAGGGGUACGAAGUAUUUUGAAUAUCAGGAUAUUCAGAUAUAGAAUGACACCAUACAGGUCAUCAGGUUCACAGUUUAUGUAGUAUAUUACAGUAUUAUAGGCAUAUCAGAUGAGACGAAAAAAACAGUAGAACUGCUUUAGAUUGAGUGCAGCAGCUACAAGAAUAAGACUAAAUUGAUACUAACACUCUUCUAUUUGUAUGUAGGUAAUUGGUCACCAUAAUAGUACUUCCCAAUAAUGUCUCCAUCUUUGAAUUCCAAGAAUUUGGUACACAUCACUCGGAGACAAUUUUUAAAAGACAUCACUAUAGACAUACACAUUUAACAUAUAUAAUCAUACAAUUGAGUCAAAGAUAUGGAAUCCCAACUAAAACAUUCACUGAUCUACGAGUACCAGUAACUAACCUUUUCCUUGCUUCCAGCACUCCCAACAACAUAGCAACCUGUCAACUUUGCAAAUUGGCCAACAAGCUGACCUACUGCUCCAGAUGCGGCUGAAAUGUAGACAGUCUCUCCUUUCUUAGGAGAGCAAACCUCAAAAAACCCAGCAUAAGCAGUCAUUCCAGGCAUACCUACAUAACAUAUGAAUACGUCAGAUGAGCCCAAACAACCAGUAGACUCCAACAAGAGAUCUCAUGAGGGAACAAUAAACAAUAUGCACAAAAAAAAUAUUGACACAAGCUGUCAACUUGUGACUAUAGCAUGAAACUUUUAUGUUCUCUGCUCAUACAUGAAAAGGAGCUAAUACAACCAGCUGCACAAAAAACUAUUGCCCCAACUUAACUCAAGGGUUUGGCCCUCAAGAGCUGCAAGGUAACUAAUUGUGGCUAAUCAAAUUAGCACAUUAGACUAAAGACUACGGAGGUCUGUAAGUAACACAAACCAGUUUGUUAGUUACAAACAAGUAGAAAGCAAGAGAAGUAGGCAAUACCGAGAAGUCCAGUAUAGUAAGAGAGAGGCACAUCAGUGUGGUGAAUUUUAAACAGAGACUCUGUGGCAGUGAUGACACUAUAUUCUUCCCAGCCAGUAUGACCCCAAACCAAGUCGCCUGGCUUAAACUUUGGAUCCCCAGAUUCCAGGACUUUAGCCACUCCAUAACCAGUUACAGUCUGCAACAUGGAAUUCCAAAUUUUCUUUAGUUUGCUCUAUAUAUGCAAAUCUCUGAAUAAAGCACACACAUUUUUUUUUAUUCCAAAUUAUCUCAUGCAUUACAAUUUUAUAUCAUUGUCCUUAUAUCACCUGGCCCCCGAACCUGGAAUUAAAAAUCUCUCAUCCACAUGACCCAAAGAAGUGAAUUUACAGAAAAAAUGAUAAAUAAAAAGGGAUCUGCUAGAAGACACCUGGCCGGGGUUGAAGGAUUGGACAUAAGAGGGCCUCUCGUGUUUGGUCAUACGGCCGCGCAUGUAAGGAUCGCAGGACAAGUAUAGGUUCUUGACCACAAGGCCAGUCGACCCUUGUGGAAGCUUGAGUUUGGCUGUGGAUGUCCUCAAUUCCAUGUCGGAUUCUUUGGGGAACCCGGUGACAUAGUCUUUGAAUAUCACCUGCUUGUUACUCACUUCCACUCCGUCACUCGCCAUUUUCAGCUUCUCUCUUUUCUCUGUGUGUCUCUACAACCGUAACUGAAGAAGAUGAGGGCGAUACGAGCAAUAUAUGCCACGAAAUAUAGUAAUUACUGUAAUUUCUUACCUUACUAUGAUGUCAGAGCCCAGGUCUCUCUGGAAUUUUCCAUUUAGAAUCAAAAGAAACGGCUGGACAAUAAAUUUCUCAUUUUUGUCACGUUUGGUUUCUUCAAUGCGAAUAAUGACAGUAGCAAGGGCCGACGACGACGUCCCUGCUUACGCCAACAGUUCAUUGCCGUCCUCUUGCACUUUGUUGUUACCAUUUCUGGGGUACAAGUUUAAGUUUUUGACUUGUAAGGUACAGCCAUUUGGAGGCACAACUUCUUCACCAUAUAAAGAUGACAGUAACUAUAAUUUAAGCAGAUCCAACAAGAAACAUGUAGCCAUCUUUCAUGUAUGAAAGGUCCAAAUACUAGACUCUACUUGUGCAUCCCUCAGACUACAUUUAUUUAUCUUGCCGAAAUGUUAAAAAUGAAGUUUCAGUUUCUCAUGUAAAGUUUAGUUUCAGUUUCAUUGAGAUGAAUCCAUGGAUGUAGCUAGUCAUCCAUUCUCGGGAAACAACAACCACCUGCUUUCCUACAUUGUGGCCAGCAAAGAGGCCAAGCAGAGCCGAUGGAGCAUUCUCCAGGCCUUCAACAACAUCUUCAACGUAUGCAACCUUGCCUUCUUUUAUGUAAGGCAGAACAAAUUCGAGAAACUUGCCGUAGACAGGAAAGUAUUUUGCAACCAGGAAGCCUUCCAUGCGCAGCUGUUUAGACACCACUCACACCAGAUACAUUAAAUUAUGCACACCUUCAGGUUGCACCAGGUUGUACUGUGAGAUCAUCCCACAAACUGAGAUUCGCCCUCCAAUCUUCAUGUUCGGUAGCACUGCAUCGAGCAUCUUUCCCCCAACAUUUUCAAAGUACCUGGUAUUUAUGAAAUAUAAACAAAAUUGAACAUUUAUGAGACUGUAUAUGCAUGUAAAGGCCAAAACAUAACGGAAAAUACUGUAUGUGGGAACAUUACAACAAAGACAUGAGGUCUUUACCUACGCAGAAAGUCCCACCUCAACUCUAUUAUAUGUGACCUUUCAAUUUCUUAAGUUUCUUGUAUUUGCUCUCUGUUUCAAGAGACUGGGAU